rnacentral:rRNA from 1 species
CGUGCCUAACACAUGCAAGUCGCACGAGAAAGUCCCAGCUUGCUGGGGCUAGUAAAGUGGCGCACGGGUGAGUAACGCGUGGGUAAUCUACCUCCGAAUUGGGGAUAACAUUGCGAAAGCGGUGCUAAUACCGAAUGACAUCCCCGGGACUACGGUCUUGGUGAUCAAAGGUGGCCUCUACAUGUAAGCUAUGUUUGGAGAUGAGCCCGCGUACCAUUAGCUAGUUGGUAGGGUAAUGGCCUACCAAGGCUACGAUGGUUAGCUGGUCUGAGAGGAUGAUCAGCCACACUGGAACUGACACACGGUCCAGACUCCUACGGGAGGCAGCAGUGAGGAAUUUUGCGCAAUGGGGGAAACCCUGACGCAGCAACGCCGCGUGAGUGAUGAAGGCUUUCGGGUCGUAAAGCUCUGUCAAGUGGGAAGAACCUGCUUUGUGAUAAUACCACGAAGCACUGACGGUACCACUGAAGGAAGCACCGGCUAACUCCGUG